rnacentral:rRNA from 1 species
UACGGAGGGUGCAAGCGUUGUUCGGAAUCACUGGGCGUAAAGCGCGUGUAGGCGGUCUCCUAAGUCUGGUGUGAAAGCCCGGGGCUCACCCCCGGAAGUGCACUGGAAACUGAGGGACUCGAGUACCGGAGAGGAGGGUGGAAUUCCUGGUGUAGCGGUGAAAUGCGUAGAUAUCAGGAGGAACACCGGUGGCGAAGGCGGCCCUCUGGACGGAUACUGGCGCUGAGACGCGAAAGCGUGGGGAGCAAACAGG